CAGUCGCCGCGGUAAAACGUAGGUGGCAAGCGUUGUCCGGAAUUAUUGGGCGUAAAGGGCUCGCAGGCGGUUUCUUAAGUCUGAUGUGAAAGCCCCCGGCUCAACCGGGGAGGGUCAUUGGAAACUGGGAAACUUGAGUGCAGAAGAGGAGAGUGGAAUUCCACGUGUAGCGGUGAAAUGCGUAGAGAUGUGGAGGAACACCAGUGGCGAAGGCGACUCUCAGGUCUGUAACUGACGCUGAGGAGCGAAAGCGUGGGGAGCGAACAGGAUUAGAUACCCCCGUAGUCCCUGUCUCUUAUAC
rnacentral:rRNA from 1 species